AUGUCACAACGAAGCAACAGUAAAAAAGGCAUUGAAGAUAUUCAGUCAGAGACUGUGCGUUCAAGAAGCAGUCGUUCAUCUGUUACAUCGUCCAGCUCGAAGAUUAGUAUGGCUGUCGCCAUGGCAAAGGCAAAGGCUGAAGCAGCGCAAGCUAGAGCAGCACACAUGCAGAAAGAAAUUGAACUUAAAGUAGAACAAGCUCGUGUUCAAGCAAAUCUUGAUGCAUUAAAUGAGGAGAAAGAAAAGGAUGCCGCCAUAGCAGAGGCGAAUGCUCUUGUUGCCGGAUUACAAGACAUGGGUUUUGAAGUAUGCAGUAAGGCUAGCAGCCAGGUUCCUCAAUCGGUCAAAGACCAGCGAGUCGCCGCUUAUGUGUCAGCACAAGCCAGCCUAUGCAGCAAAGGUUUAUCGGUUAGAAGAGGUAGCGACUAUGCUUCACCAACGCUGCAUCCUCCACAUUCUCAAACUAAUGAUGCAAUCAUCUCAAUGCCUCACCCACUCAGCACGAGUCAAAAUCAAGCUGCUGCUUCCGCAGAAAUUAUGCCACAUCAAGUUUAUCAAGCUCCUCAGACAAGUGGAAUACCGCUACAACAAAGCUACAAUCAAGCGUUUAACACUUUCUCAGUUCUUCAGCGUGAUGAGAGUCGCUUGCAACAGAACGUCAAAUCGGAUCCCUCCCCUCCUGCGCGCACACAUCCUCGCAAGACACCUUAUGAAGCUAGCCAUGAUCAUUCUACGUCCACUGGAGAUCUCAUCAAAUACCUAGCUCGUAGCAGCCUGGUGACUUCAGGUUUAACCGCAUAUGACGAUCAGCCAAUGAACUAUUGGGCCUGGAAGACAUCGUUCCUGAAUGCUAUCACCGAUCUAGACCUGUCUGCUGCAGGAGAACUUGACCUCCUCAUCAGGUAUCUAGGGAAAGAGUCGACAGAGCAAGUAAGAAGAAUUAAAACUGUCAACAUUAAGGAUCCAGUGAUUGGACUACGCAUGGCAUGGGAACGCCUUGACAAAGUAUAUGGCUCACCGGAGGCCGUCGAGCAGGCCUUGUUCAACAAGCUAGAAAACUUUCCGAAGGUUACAAUGAAGGAUCCACGAGGACUCAGGGAUCUAGCCGACCUUUUGUCGGAGCUUCAAGCAGCCAAAGAAGAUAAC
ensembl:lncRNA